UACGGAGGGGGCAAGCGUUAUUCGGAAUUAUUGGGCGUAAAGGGCGCGUAGGCGGCUAGAUGUGUCAAAGGUGAAAUCCCUCGGCUCAACUGAGGAACUGCCUUUGAAACUGUCUGGCUUGAGGCCGGGAGAGGGUAGCGGAAUUCCCAGUGUAGCGGUGGAAUGCGCAGAUAUCAGGAGGAACACCAAUAGCGAAGGCAGCUCGCUGGGACGUUACUGACACUGAGGCGCGAAAGCGUGGGGAGCGAACAGG
rnacentral:rRNA from 1 species